CUGCUCGUGACGAAGCCCACGGUUUCAACGGUGGCCCGAAGUGGAUUUGCUGCGUUGCAAACAAUGGGAUGGGCGUCGCUGAGCGUUGAUGAUCCCAACGACCCAAAUUGGCACGCGGCUUGGUGCGCCUUGCAGGUGGUCGGGCGCACGCAGGUAUAAAUAGUAGGGGCAGCCGAAGAGAAUAUCAGUGAGACUUGUGGGUCCGCAUUUUUUGUGUGUGUGUCCCGGAGGCAGUAGGAGGCGAAGCUGGUUGUUUAGGUUUUUAUCCCUUUCCGAGAUCCCCGUGGUGGUGAGCACAGCGUAAGAAUGGCCAGUGCGGUUGUUGAGCAUAGCGUGACUCCAAGCAAAAUUCCCCUUCCUGCCGAAGAAGAAGAAGAGGAGGAGGCGGAAGAAGAAGAAGAUUGCCCCGAAAUCGUCAAGGUGGCAACUGCCAUUCAAUUGCUGGAAGAAGGCAAGCAGAAUCUUGCCGACGGCAACAUCCCGUCAGCUGUGGAUGCUCUCCAAGACAGCUGUGCGCUGCUUGCCAAAGAGUUUGGGGAGACUGCAAAUCAGUGCGGGGAAGCAUACAUGGUGUAUGGGAAAGCAUUACUUGAACUUGCCAGGAUAGAGAAUGGAAUUGUAGGAAAAGCCUUGGAGGGAAUGCCUUUGGAAGAGAUUGGAGACAGCAAUGACGAGUGUAUUGGUGAUACGGACAUUGUGGCAGAUGACGUUCAGACAGAGGAGGAGAUGGAGCGGCUUCGUGAACAGGUUUAUGAUGCCAUGUCGGAGGGGAAGCCGAGCAGUGAAGCAGGGGAGGAUGUUGGCUUUGGAGAUGGAGAAACGGAAGCAGGCAUGCAGGUUCAGGAACAAAAAGAAUCGGAGGACAAUUCUGCAGCAGGAGACGAAGCUGUAGAGGGUGACCAGAACGUUGAGGUGGAGAUGGCAGAAUCUGUAGUAACCAAUGCAGUGGAGAAAUCAACUUCUACAAAUGGCAGCUUCUCUGAAGAGAAACCGUCAUGUUCAAGUAGCAGCCUUGAAAAGCCUGCAGCCCCUGAGGAAUCUGUAGUAGCCAAUGAAGUGAACAAACCAACCUGUACAGAUGGCAACAGCUCUGAAGAGAAACCAUCAUGUUCAAGUGGCAGCCUUGAAAAGCCUGCAGCCCCUGAGGAAUCCAUAGCCAAUGAAAUGCACAAACCAACCUGUACAGGUGGCAACAGCUCUGAAGAGAAACCGUCAUGUUCAAGUGGCAGCCUUGAAAAGCCUGCAGCCCCUGAGGAAUCCAUAGCCAAUGAAAUGCACAAACCAACCUGUACAGGUGGCAGCAACUCUGAAGAAAAACCAUGUUCCAGUGGCAGCCUUGAGAAUCCUGCAGCUCCUGAGGACAAACUUGAGGAGCCUGCUGUUCUAAAGAGGAGCAGUGACUUGUGUCCAGAUAGCAUGGAGCAUGAAACUAAUUCAAAUGACCUCAAGGAAACAAGUGGGCUAGCGAAUGACGACGUUAAUAAGAAUGAAGGCCAUGGUGUCUCAAACGGAAAGCAUGAUGCACCUCGGGAGGCCUUGGUGAAAGUUGACUCGAAGCCGACGGCACAUUCCUGCAUGGAUAGACCCAACAGUCCAAAAGGGGAUUUGGAAGGUGACAAGGCUGACGUUAAGAUGGCUGAAGAUGUUGCAAAGGGCACUAAUGAUGCGGAUGAUUCGCGAGAGGAAGUUUCCCAUAUGCAGCUUGCCUGGGAGAUGCUCGACCUGGCAAGGGUCAUCUGUACAAGGCAACGCACUCGUGAAGCACAGCUCCAUGCUGCAGAGGCUCUUCUCAAGCUCGGUGAACUGGGUCUGGAAAAAGACAACUACCAGCAGGCCACUGAAGACUUCUUGCAAUGUUUGGCUAUUCAGCAGAAGUACCUGAAGCCAGACAGCCGACACCUGGCUGAAACCCACUACCAGCUGGGUAUUGCCUACUCGCUGGAAAAUAACUACUCUGCGGCUGUCAAGCACUUUUCCAGCUCCUUGAAGUGCAUCAAAAAAAGGCUUGCUCUUCUUUCAGAAGGCCUCGAGGAAGUGGAGGCUGCACAGAAGACUCCAGAGGUAGAAUUUGCUUUGGCCGAGGACCAGAAGGAAAUUGUGGCUUUGAAGGAACUGUUGCCAGAGAUACAGUCCAAAAUCCUGGACUGUGAAGAGCUGCAGGACCAACCAGAAGUCUCAAAAGUCAUUAAGGAAUCCAUGGUUGACUCUAUGGAAGAAACCAAAACAAUCGCAUGUGAGGUGAAGGACAUUUCUCACUUGGUGAAGAAAAAGCCUGUGCAGUGUGGAAAUUCAACUGAAGAAACUAAAAGCACUAAAGAUGAUGCGGAGGAUAUUUCCCAAUUGGUGAAAAAGUUUAUUCUUACAGAGGAAACUGGAAGGAGAGGAUGCAGAGAACAACUCUGACACGAAGAAGCCAAAGCACACUGUAGCAGAAGAUCAUAUAGAUGGUGCAGAGGAGAACUUGUGCCCUAAUAUUCAGCUCGAAGAUGAAUCGCAGGUGAAGGAGACUGCAAUGGAAGUCGUGUAAACUCCACCAGGAAGAAUUCAGCAGUCUGCUUGCUAUGUUUGGUUUUUCCCAAUUCGUGUUAUAAGCGCUGACCAAGAUGAUGCACUUACCCUUUAAAGUAUUUAUGGCUAAUUUUAUUCUGCUUUCAAUAAAGUUUGCAUUUGUUAAA